UACGGGGGGGCAAGCGUUGUUCGGAAUUACUGGGCGUAAAGGGCUCGUAGGCGGCCAACUAAGUCAGACGUGAAAUCCCUCGGCUUAACCGGGGAACCGCAUCUGAUACUGGAUGGCUUGAGUUCGGGAGAGGGAUGCGGAAUUCCAGGUGUAGCGGUGAAAUGCGUAGAUAUCAGGAGGAACACCGGUGGUGUAGACGGCUUCUGGACCGUAACUGACGCUGAGACACGAAAGCGUGGGUAGCAAACAGG
rnacentral:rRNA from 1 species